UACGGGGGGAGCAAGCGUUGUUCGGAUUUACUGGGCGUAAAGGGCGCGUAGGCGGCGCAACAAGUCACUUGUGAAAUCUCCGGGCUUAACCCGGAGCGGCCAAGUGAUACUGUCGUGCUAGAGUGCGGAAGGGGCUACUGGAAUUCUCGGUGUAGCGGUGAAAUGCGUAGAUAUCGAGAGGAACACCUGCGGCGAAGGCGGGUAGCUGGGCCGACACUGACGCUGAGGCGCGGAAGCCAGGGGAGCGAACGGG
rnacentral:rRNA from 1 species